rnacentral:rRNA from 1 species
GGGUCAGUAGGUUGGUCGUGCCACCGGUACGUACUGGUCUCACUGAUUCCUCCUUCCUGAAGAACCGUAAUGCCAUUAAUUUGGUGUUGCGGGGAAACAGGACUGUUACUUUGAAAAGAUUAGAGUGUUUAAAGCAAGCUAACGCUUGAAUACAUUAGCAUGGAAUAAUGAAAUAGGACGAUCAAUCCUAUUUUGUUGGUUUCUAGGAUUGACGUA